AAAAAGACAAAACCUGGUCUCCGUGUCCAACUUUAACUGGCCGUCUUAUAUAAUUUUUUUUAUAAUUCGUAUUUUUAUUGUUGUUAGAUGAUAAAACAUAAUUAAUAUUUUAUACGUGACUUGUCUUUCUAAUUUUUUUUAUAAUUUUUUUAAAUAAGACGGACGAUCAAACGAUGGACACGUAAACUAGAGUUUGUCUUUUUU
rfam:Oryza sativa Japonica Group DNA, chromosome 2, cultivar: Nipponbare, complete sequence.